GGAUGAACGCUGGCGGCGUGCCUAAUACAUGCAAGUCGAGCGAACGGACGAGAAGCUUGCUUCUCUGAUGUUAGCGGCGGACGGGUGAGUAACACGUGGAUAACCUACCUAUAAGACUGGGAUAACUUCGGGAAACCGGAGCUAAUACCGGAUGAUAUUUUGAACCGCAUGGUUCAAAAGUGAAAGACGGUCUUGCUGUCACUUAUAGAUGGAUCCGCGCUGCAUUAGCUAGUUGGUAAGGUAACGGCUUACCAAGGCAACGAUGCAUAGCCGACCUGAGAGGGUGAUCGGCCACACUGGAACUGAGACACGGUCCAGACUCCUACGGGAGGCAGCAGUAGGGAAUCUUCCGCAAUGGGCGAAAGCCUGACGGAGCAACGCCGCGUGAGUGAUGAAGGUCUUCGGAUCGUAAAACUCUGUUAUUAGGGAAGAACAUAUGUGUAAGUGACUGUGCACAUCUUGACGGUACCUAAUCAGAAAGCCACGGCUAACUACGUG
rnacentral:rRNA from 1 species